rnacentral:rRNA from 1 species
GACGAACGCUGGCGGCGUGCUUAACACAUGCAAGUCGAGCGGAAAGGCCCUUCGGGGUCCUCGAGCGGCGAACGGGUGAGUAACACGUGAGUAACCUGCCCCAGACUUUGGGAUAACCCUCGGAAACGGGGGCUAAUACCGGAUACGACACAGCUUCGCAUGGGGUCUGUGUGGAAAGUUUUUCGGUUUGGGAUGGGCUCGCGGCCUAUCAGCUUGUUGGUGGGGUGAUGGCCUACCAAGGCGACGACGGGUAGCCGGCCUGAGAGGGGGACCGGCCACACUGGGACUGAGACACGGCCCAGACUCCUACGGGCGGCAGCAGUGGGGAAUAUUGCACAAUGGGCGGAAGCCUGAUGCAGCGACGCCGCGUGAGGGAUGACGGCCUUCGGGUUGUAAACCUCUUUCAGCAGGGACGAAGCGUAAGUGACGGCACCUGCAGAAGAAGCGCCGGCCAACUACGUG